rnacentral:rRNA from 1 species
UACAGAGGCCUCGAGCGUUAGGCGGAAUCACUGGGCUUAAAGCGUGUGUAGGCGGACCGUUAAGUACCUUGUGAAAUCCCACGGCUCACCCGUGGAACGGCUGGGUAUACUGGCGGUCUUGGGGUCGUCCAGGGGCAACCGGAACAAGCGGUGGAGCGGUGAAAUGCGUAGAUAUCGCUUGGAACGCCGACGGCGAAAGCAGGUUGCUGGGGACGCACCGACGCUGAGACACGAAAGCCAGGGGAGCAAACGGG